rnacentral:rRNA from 1 species
CCAAGGAGUCUAACAUGUGCGCGAGUCAUUGGGGAUCUCUCGAGACCCACAGGCGCAAUGAAAGUGAAGGUGAAGGGGCUUGCCCCCACCGAGGCAGGAUCCGUCCAGGUAAGGUGUGUAAAAAGCCCUUACGCUGGCGGCGCACUGCCGGCCCGUCGCAACUGCCACGCCAGUGCGGCGGAGCAAGAGCGUACACGUUGGGACCCGAAAGAUGGUGAUCUAUGCCUGGGCAGGACGAAGCCAGAGGAAACUCUGGUGGAGGUCCGUAGCGAUUCUGACGUGCAAAUCGAUCGUCGGACCUGGGUAUAGGGGCGAAAGACUAAUCGAACCGUCUA